CUGGCAGCGCCCAUAUGGCAUGGGAAGAAAAGCCUGCAACGGAAUGCAUUGAUGGUCUGGUAGGGAGCGACAGGACGAAGUUGACGGCUUCCACUCUAUUUCCGAGAGAACGAGAUCUUGGUUAUAUUAUCAGAAGUUUGUGCAUGAUCAUCUUAUAAUCUACUUCCAGUGAGUGCUUUCGUCACAGAAGAAGUGAAAGAAAAACUCAUAGCUGCCACGCUCGUUACGAAGAACUAUAGAAAUUUUAUUAGGAACUCCAUCUCCAAGCUCAUCCAUUGUUGGUUUGUCACAUCUUGGGUUCCACGUCAAUCUGGAAACUACCAGGUCGUCAUAUAUAAUUUGAUAUCGUGUCGCACUCA